rnacentral:rRNA from 1 species
GGGCCCGCACAAGCGGUGGAGUAUGUGGUUUAAUUCGAUGCAACGCGAAGAACCUUACCAGGAUUUGACAUCCUGCGAAUCUCUUGGAAACGAGAGAGUGCCUUCGGGAACGCAGUGACAGGUGGUGCAUGGCUGUCGUCAGCUCGUGUCGUGAGAUGUUGGGUUAAGUCCCGCAACGAGCGCAACCCACGUCUUUAGUUGCCAGCAUUUAGUUGGGCACUCUAGAGAGACUGCCGGUGAUAAACCGGAGGAAGGUGUGGAUGACGUCAAGUCAUCAUGCCCCUUACAUUCUGGGCUACACACGUACUACAAUGCUACGGACAAAGGGCAGCAAGUUCGCGAGGACAAG